UACGAAGGGGGCUAGCGUUGCUCGGAAUCACUGGGCGUAAAGCGCACGUAGGCGGGUCUUUAAGUCAGGGGUGAAAUCCUGGAGCUCAACUCCAGAACUGCCUUUGAUACUGAGGAUCUUGAGUUCGGGAGAGGUGAGUGGAACUGCGAGUGUAGAGGUGAAAUUCGUAGAUAUUCGCAAGAACACCAGUGGCGAAGGCGGCUAUCUGGACGGUUUCUGACACUAAGACACGAAAGCGUGGGGAGCAAACAGG
rnacentral:rRNA from 1 species